rnacentral:rRNA from 1 species
UACGUAGGGUGCGAGCGUUGUCCGGAAUUAUUGGGCGUAAAGAGCUUGUAGGCGGUUUGUCGCGUCUGCUGUGAAAUCUCAAGGCUCAACCUUGAGCUUGCAGUGGGUACGGGCAGACUAGAGUGUGGUAGGGGAGACUGGAAUUCCUGGUGUAGCGGUGAAAUGCGCAGAUAUCAAGAGGAACACCUGGGGUGAAGACGGGUUGCUGGGCUGACACUGACGCUGAGGCGCGAAAGCCAGGGGAGCAAACGGG